UUAACAUUCAAUUCGUAGAUUUCAGUAAGGAAGAAAGAUCGAGAGGAGAAUGGCAAGUAUAUGCCCACCAGGUAAGUGGGCAUGGCCAGAGAUUGUUGGGAAAGAUGGAAACGUUGCAGCCGCUAUCAUAGAGAAGGAGAACAAAAAUGUGAAUGCAAUUGUGACCAGGGCUCCGAUUAUAGAUCUAUCGUUUAACUGCGGCAGAGUCAGGGUUAUUGUGGCUAAAAAUGGAAAAGUCAUUAUAACUCCUACUAUUGGUUAACCCAUAAAUAUCAUAUAUUAUCUUAAAUAAACAUUCUCAGUACUUUGAGAUUUGGAGAAUAAAUAAUUGAGUUAUAUGUUUUA